CGAGCUGUAUUAUAAAAAUAAUGUAUGCUACUGUUUGGCGCCAAAUUAUGCACCAUUAUCAGAAACAACAGGAGAUCUGAAGAUUGGUGUCGGUGAUUCUAUAUAUGAAAUGUUCCGAGACAGAUCUGAUUGUGUAUCAAAAGAAUACACCAUGUUUUCUGGUACUAAUUACUGUCUGAAGAUGAUGACUCCUUCUUUAAACUGGACUGAGGCUGAAAAUUACUGUAAACAAGAUGGUGGAAACCUGGUUUCUAUGGAGACUACAGAAAAAAUGGCGAAUUUAUUAUUAGUGAAUCCAAGUGGCAAUUUUCUGGUAGGUGGUUACGUACCUGUAGGAGCUGUAAACCAGGAAUCCGAGUAUCGAUGGAUCAGCAAUCGUAAUGAGCCCAUCAACACUACAUUCUGGCAUCCAAACGAACCAAAUAUGCUGGAUUCCGAGGACGUGGUAAUAAUCUACCCAGGCGGCAAGAUGUACA